rnacentral:rRNA from 1 species
GAUGAACGCUAGCUACAGGCUUAACACAUGCAAGUCGAGGGGCAGCAUGAACUUAGCUUGCUAAGUUUGAUGGCGACCGGCGCACGGGUGAGUAACACGUAUCCAACCUUCCGUUUACUCAGGGAUAGCCUUUUCGAAAGAAAGAUUAAUACCUGAUAGUAUGGUGAGAUUGCAUGAUAACACCAUUAAAGAUUUAUUGGUAAACGAUGGGGAUGCGUUCCAUUAGGUAGUAGGCGGGGUAACGGCCCACCUAGCCUGCGAUGGAUAGGGGUUCUGAGAGGAAGGUCCCCCACAUUGGAACUGAGACACGGUCCAAACUCCUACGGGAGGCAGCAGUGAGGAAUAUUGGUCAAUGGGCGAGAGCCUGAACCAGCCAAGUAGCGUGAAGGAUGAAGGUCCUACGGAUUGUAAACUUCUUUUAUACGGGAAUAAAGUUUCCUACGUGUAGGAUUUUGUAUGUACCGUAUGAAUAAGCAUCGGCUAACUCCGUG